AUUGAACGCUGGCGGCAGGCUUAACACAUGCAAGUCGAGCGAGCGGCGGACGGGUGAGUAAUGUCUGGGAAACUGCCUGAUGGAGGGGGAUAACUACUGGAAACGGUAGCUAAUACCGCAUACCAUCAGAUGUGCCCAUCUGGGAUUAGCUAGUAGGUGGGGUAAUGGCUCACCUAGGCGACGAUCCCUAGCUGGUCUGUGAGGAUGUCCAUCCCCACUGGAACUCGCACACGGUCCAGACUCCUCCGGGAGGCAGCAGUGGGGAAUAUUGCCCAAUGGGCGCAAGCCGGCUGCAGCCAUGCCGCGUGUGUGAAGAAGGCCUUCGGGUUGUAAAGCACUUUCAGCGAGGAGGCGUUACUCGCAGAAGAAGCACCGGCUAACUCCGUGCCAGCAGCCGCGGUAAUAC
rnacentral:rRNA from 1 species